CCAUGGCUUUUGAGGAAGUGGCUGUGAACUUUACCCAGGAGGAAUGGGCUUUGGUAGAUUCUUCUCAGAAGAAUCUCUGCAGAGAAGUGAUGCAGGAAACCUGCAGGAACCUGGCUUCUGUAGAAAUCAUGUGGUACAGAGACUGUGUGAAAGCAAAGAAGGUAGACAGUAUGGACAAGUAGUCAGCCAAAUUCCAAAUCUUGAUCUGAAUGAGAACAUUUCUACUGGAUUAAAACAAUGUGAAAGCA